rnacentral:rRNA from 1 species
GAUGAACGCUAGCUACAGGCUUAACACAUGCAAGUCGAGGGGCAGCAUGAACUUAGCUUGCUAAGUUUGAUGGCGACCGGCGCACGGGUGAGUAACACGUAUCCAACCUGCCGAUGACUCGGGGAUAGCCUUUCGAAAGAAAGAUUAAUACCCGAUGGCAUAGUUCUUCCGCAUGGUGGAACUAUUAAAGAAUUUCGGUCAUCGAUGGGGAUGCGUUCCAUUAGGUUGUUGGCGGGGUAACGGCCCACCAAGCCUUCGAUGGAUAGGGGUUCUGAGAGGAAGGUCCCCCACAUUGGAACUGAGACACGGUCCAAACUCCUACGGGAGGCAGCAGUGAGGAAUAUUGGUCAAUGGACGAGAGUCUGAACCAGCCAAGUAGCGUGAAGGAUGACUGCCCUAUGGGUUGUAAA